CUCUCUGGUGUGAAGGAGGACAUCGUCACCAAACUGGACAAACGAGAGAUCAAGACCAACUACGUGAAUCCCAUCUACAUGAUCAUUGUCAUCAUCGCUGUUGUUCUCCUUCUUGUAACCAUCGUCUGUGUGGCUGGAUUCUGCCUGUAUAAGAAGAGAAAUGCCAAACGCCCUCCAUCCCCGGUAAACGACCCGGCUGUGCAACAAAUGAUGCUUCCAAAUCAAAAUACCUAAAGACAAAGAGAGGACCCUGAACCCAGUUUACGGGUACGUUCUGCACUGAAACAAGGAGCAGACCGACACGCUCUCCUCAGAAUUCAUUGGCUCUCAUCGUAUCAGACAUGAAGUGAUCAGAGUUGGGAAUUUAAAUUUAAAUCUUUGAAAUACAAAGAAAACAAGUUUGAAAAAGAGUUGACAAAUGCUUUACAAAUCUUGAUGAUUUAUUUUUUGUCACCUGGAGAGAAGAGAAUCAGAAGAUGAAUCUAUGACGGCAUCACGCCGCUCUUCAUGUGUUGAAGAAAGAUUUGUGUGUUGAUCUAAAAUCCAUCAUAGUUGGAUUUUUCUACUUCUGGUGUUCAGAGCUUUGUGCUAAAACAAAUGUUGGUGAUAAAUACGUUAAUAAAGACACACACACACACACACACACACACACACACACACACACACACACACACACACA